AGAGGAUAAUGCAGCCAAGGAUGACUUGCCGGAACAUUGUUCAUCAUGCAUAUAAGUAUUGAUGAUUAUGAAUUUAUGAUGAUGAACAUAUUUCUGGCAGGUUGUCCUUCGGCUACAUUUUGCUCUCU
rfam:Arabis alpina cultivar Pajares Aa.chr8_contig_5528, whole genome shotgun sequence.